rnacentral:rRNA from 1 species
GAUGAACGCUAGCGGCAGGCCUAACACAUGCAAGUCGAACGGCAGCGGGCCCUCGGGUGCCGGCGAGUGGCGAACGGGUGAGUAAUGCAUCGGAACGUGCCAUUGAGUGGGGGAUGACGUAGCGAAAGUUGCGCUAAUACCGCAUAUUCUGUGAGCAGGAAAGCAGGGGACCGCAAGGCCUUGCGCUCUUUGAGCGGCCGAUGUCAGAUUAGCUAGUUGGUGAGGUAAAGGCUCACCAAGGCGACGAUCCGUAGCGGGUCUGAGAGGAUGAUCCGCCACACUGGGACUGAGACACGGCCCAGACUCCUACGGGAGGCAGCAGUGGGGAAUUUUGGACAAUGGGCGCAAGCCUGAUCCAGCCAUGCCGCGUGAGUGAAGAAGGCCUCGG